UACAGAGGUCCCAAGCGUUGUUCGGAUUCACUGGGCGUAAAGGGUGCGUAGGUGGCGAGGUAAGUCGGAUGUGAAAUCUCUGGGCUCAACUCAGAGUCUGCCAUAGAAACUGCAGUGCUGGAGUGUGGGAGAGGUGAGUGGAAUUUCCGGUGUAGCGGUGAAAUGCGUAGAGAUCGGAAGGAACGUCAAUGGCGAAGGCAGCUACCUGGCCAAAUACUGACGCUGAGGCGCGAAAGCGUGGGGAGCAAACAGG
rnacentral:rRNA from 1 species